rnacentral:rRNA from 1 species
UACGUAGGGUGCAAGCGUUAAUCGGAAUUACUGGGCGUAAAGCGUGCGCAGGCGGUUUUGUAAGUCAGAUGUGAAAUCCCCCGGGCUUAACCUGGGAACUGCGUUUGAAACUACAAGGCUAGAGUGUGGCAGAGGGGGGUGGAAUUCCACGUGUAGCAGUGAAAUGCGUAGAGAUGUGGAGGAAUACCGAUGGCGAAGGCAGCCCCCUGGGAUAACACUGACGCUCAUGCACGAAAGCGUGGGGAGCAAACAGG